GGCCGCUGAUGACACGCCAAACAAUUUUCUGACACCUCAUAUGAGAGCUAAGCUCCUGAUUCUAAUGCUGUUCUGAGGCCC